rnacentral:rRNA from 1 species
CUACGGAGGGUGCAAGCGUUAUCCGGAUUCAUUGGGUUUAAAGGGUGCGCAGGCGGAUUAUUAAGUCAGUGGUGAAAUCCUACAGCUUAACUGUAGAACUGCCAUUGAUACUGGUAAUCUUGAGUACGGUUGAAGUGGGCGGAAUGUAGCAUGUAGCGGUGAAAUGCAUAGAGAUGCUACAGAACACCGAUAGCGAAGGCAGCUCACUAAGCCGGCACUGACGCUGAGGCACGAAAGCGUGGGGAGCGAACAGGAUUAGAUACCCUAGUAGUCC